GACGAACGCUGGCGGAGUGCUUAACACAUGCAAGUCGAACGAAGUGGCGAACGGGUGAGUAACGCGUAACCAACCUGCCCUUCAGAGGGGGACAACAGUUGGAAACGACUGCUAAUACCGCAUACUGAAGGAGGGGUUUGCGUUUGAUUGGCUGGUUGGAGGGGUAACGGCCCACCAAGGCGAUGAUCAUUCGCCGGUCUGAGAGGAGGAACGGCCACAAUGGUACUUGGACACGGCCCAGACUCCUACGGGAGUCAGUAGUGGGGAAUCUGCCGCAAUGGACGAAAGUCUUACGGAGCAACGCCGCGUGAGUGAUGACGGCCUUCGGGUUGUAAAGCUCUGUUAAUCGGGACGCGGUACCGGAAUAGAAAGCCACGGCUAACUACGUGCCAGCAGCCGCGGUAAUAC
rnacentral:rRNA from 1 species